rnacentral:rRNA from 1 species
UUUGGGCCACCUCCCAUCCGUGUCUAUUGUACCCUGUUGCUUCGGCGGGCCCGCCGCUUGUCGGCCGCCGGGGGGGCGCCUCUGCCCCCCGGGCCCGUGCCCGCCGGAGACCCCAACACGAACACUGUCUGAAAGCGUGCAGUCUGAGUUGAUUGAAUGCAAUCAGUUAAAACUUUCAACAAUGGAUCUCUUGGUUCCGGCAUCGAUGAAGAACGCAGCGAAAUGCGAUAACUAAUGUGAAUUGCAGAAUUCAGUGAAUCAUCGAGUCUUUGAACGCACAUUGCGCCCCCUGGUAUUCCGGGGGGCAUGCCUGUCCGAGCGUCAUUGCUGCCCUCAAGCCCGGCUUGUGUGUUGGGUCGCCGUCCCCCUCUCCGGGGGGACGGGCCCGAAAGGCAGCGGCGGCACCGCGUCCGAUCCUCGAGCGUAUGGGGCUUUGUCACAUGCUCUGUAGGAUUGGCCGGCGCCUGCCGACGUUUUCCAACCAUUCUUUCCAGGUUGACCUCGGAUCAGGUAGGGAUACCCGCUGAACUUAAGCAUAUCAAUAA